rnacentral:lncRNA from 1 species
CUUGAAAAACUACUUGGAAAACUCAAAUUAAAUAACUCUCAUGGUUACUAAAAAAAGCACAUUAGUAUUAUAACUGCUGUAAAUUAAAUGAGUCCGCAAUUGAAAAUUUUCAUGACAACUUUUUGGGAGUAUUAGAUAUUAAUCUUGAAAUUUGAUAUCACUGUGUGUUCGUUGUUUUGAUAUGUGCGCCUUUUUGAGUAUUUCAAUAUUCAAGGUCUUGACAGAAGGGGGCCUCUUUUUGUUUUAAUAAUUUUUCAAGUGAAAUGUGCUGUAAAUGCUGAAAAUCGUGGCCAUUGAAUUGUUUUAUCUUGUACAAGCAAUCAAAUGGUAUAAUUCUAUAUAUAUCGAUUUCUUGGUUAACUUUCAGUUCUCCUGCAUUGGCUAACUUUCAGUACUUCCGUAGUUUAUUUUGUGUCAACUCAUUUCAUGGAAAAUAAGUUUAUUAUAUUGUUUGUGCUGACA